CGGUCAAGCUAAAAAGGGCGCAGGGCGAAUGCCUUGGCACUGGGAGCCGAAGAAAGACGUGAUAAGCUGCGAUAAGCCGCGGGGAGUUGCAAAUAAACAUUGAUCCGCGGAUUUCUGAAUGGGGAAACCCACACGGAGUCAUGUCCGUGUAACAUACACUGAAUUCAUAGGUGUAUGUAGGGAACUGCCUGAACUGAAACAUCUAAGUAGGGCAAGGAAGAGAAAUCAACCGAGAUUCCGCUAGUAGUGGCGAGCGAACGUGGAAGAGGCCAAACCAGCGGUAGAAAUACCGUUGGGGUUACGGACUAGUACAAGUAUCGCAGAGUCUAGCUGAAGUGUGUGGGAAAGCACGCCGAAGAAUGUGAGAGCCAUGUAAGUGAAAGACGAAGCGAGCGACUAGAAUCCAGAGUACGGCUGGGCACGUGAAACCCGGUCGGAAGUCGGGGGGACCACCCUCCAAGCCUAAAUACUACCCAGUGACCGAUAGCGUAUAGUACUGUGAAGGAAAGGUGAAAAGCACCCCGGGAGGGGAGUGAAAAAGAACCUGAAACCCUGUGCCUACAAGCACACAGAGGACGUCAAAGUCUGAUGUGGUACUUUUUGUAGAACGGUCCGGCGAGCGAAUGUAUGCAGCAAGGUUAAGUUGUUCAGCAAUGAAGCCGAAGCGAAAGCGAGUCUGAAAAGGGCGUUGAGUUGCAUGCAUUGGGCCCGAAACCGAGUGACCUACCCAUGAUCAGGUUGAAGUGGGGGUAAAACCCCAUGGAGGACCGAACCGACCUCCGUUGAAAAGGCGGCGGAUGAAUUGUGGGUAGCGGAGAAAUUCCAAUCGAACUCGGAGAUAGCUGGUUCUCCCCGAAAUAGCUUUAGGGCUAGCCUCAUGUUAGAUUUCCGGAGGUAAAGCACUGAAUGGCCUAGGGCCCGAGAGGGUACCGAAGCCUAUCAAACUCUGAAUGCCGGAAAAUUGAUGCAUGGGAGUCAGACUAUGUGAGAUAAGUCUCAUAGUCGAAAGGGAAACAGCCCAGAUCUACAGCUAAGGUCCCAAAGCAGGUUUAAGUGGAAAAGGAUGUGGAGUUGCGAAAACAGCCAGGAUGUUGGCUUAGAAGCAGCCACUCAUUUAAAGAGUGCGUAAUAGCUCACUGGUCGAGUGACUCUGCGCCGAAAAUUCAACGGGGCUAAAACCUGCACCGAAGCUUAGGCAUCCGCAAGGAUGGGUAGGGGAGCGUUGUGUACGAGGCGAAGCAUUAGCGAAAGCGGAUGUGGAUUGUACACAAGUGAGAAUGCCGGAAUAAGUAGCGCGAAUGAUGUGAGAAUCAUCAUGGCCGAAAGCCUCAGGUUUUUGGAGGAAGGUUCGUCCGCUCCAAGUUAGCCGGGAGCUAAGGUGAGGCCGAAAGGCGUAGCCGAUGCACAUACGGUAGAGAUUCCGUAGCCGCCGAAAGAUUUAAGCAGGGGGACACAUUUGAAGUGUUGGUGCCGGGUGUUGGUUUACCCGGUCGAAAGGGACUGAAAUUUAGUAGGGAAGUCCAGCAUGGAGAGUGGCGAGAAAAGCCCUGUGUAUAUCUAAGGCGCCCGUACCGCAAACCGACACAGGUAGGUAGGAAGAAGAUUCUAAGGCCAACGGGAGAAGGGUUGUUAAGGAACUCGGCAAGUUGACCCCGUAACUUCGGGAGAAGGGGUGCUCAUGAAAGUGAGCCGCAGAGAAUAGGCCCAAGCAACUGUUUAGCAAAAACACAGGUCUGUGCUAAAUCGAAAGAUGACGUAUACGGGCUGACACCUGCCCGGUGCUGGAAGGUUAAGGGGAUGUGUGCAAGCACUGAACCGAAGCCCCAGUAAACGGCGGCCGUAACUAUAACGGUCCUAAGGUAGCGAAAUUCCUUGUCAGGUAAGUUCUGACCCGCACGAAUGGUGUAAUGAUUUGGGCACUGUCUCAACAGCCCGCCCGGCGAAAUUGUAGUACCGGUGAAGAUGCCGGUUUCCCGCGACAAGACGGAAAGACCCCAUGGAGCUUUACUGCAGCCUAAUAUUGGGUUUCGAUAUUACAUGUACAGGAUAUGUGGGAGACAUGGAAGCACGGGCGUCAGCCUGUGUGGAGUCAGCCUUGGGAUACCACACUUGUGAUAUUGGAAUUCUAACCUGCGGCCCUGAAUCGGGUCGGGGGACAUUGUUAGGCGGGCAGUUUGACUGGGGCGGUCGCCUCCGAAAAAGUAACGGAGGCGUUCAAAGGUUGGCUCAGCUUGGACGGAAACCAAGCCAAAGAGUGCAAACGCAUAAGCCAGCCUAACUGCGAGACUGACGGGUCGAGCAGUAACGAAAGUUGGAGUUAGUGAUCCGGCGGUAUGUGAGUGGAAAUGCCGUCGCUCAACGGAUAAAAGUUACCCUGGGGAUAACAGGCUGAUCUCCCCCAAGAGUCCACAUCGACGGGGAGGUUUGGCACCUCGAUGUCGGCUCAUCGCAUCCUGGGGCUGUAUUCGGUCCCAAGGGUUUGGCUGUUCGCCAAUUAAAGCGGUACGCGAGCUGGGUUCAGAACGUCGUGAGACAGUUCGGUCCCUAUCUGUCGUGGGCGCAGGAUAUUUGACAGGAUCUGUCCCUAGUACGAGAGGACCGGGAUGGACGCACCUCUGGUGCACCAGUUGUCACGCCAGUGGCACAGCUGGGCAGCUAUGUGCGGAUCGGAUAAACGCUGAAAGCAUCUAAGCGUGAAGCCGGCCUGGAGAUAAGAUAUCCCACUGAGAUAAUCAGGUAAGACCCCUUGAAGACUACAAGGUUGAUAGGCUCAAAGUGUAAGCACGGUGACGUGUUCAGCUAGCGAGUACUAAUCGGUCGAGGGCUUGACCACAAUCUUCU
rnacentral:rRNA from 2 species